AUUAUUUUAAAUGUUAAUUAAAAUUACUAAAUUAGUAUUAGUUAUGUUCUUAAAAAUUAAAGAUUUUGGCGGUAUUUUAGUCUGUUCAGAGGAACCUGUUCUAUAAUUGAUAGUCCACGAUAAACAUUACUUAAUUUAUAAAUUUGUAUACCGUCGUUAUUAGAUAAUUUUAUAAGAAAUUAAAUUUUUGAUAUUUUAAAUAAAAAUUUAUAUCAGAUCAAGGUGCAGUUAAUAAUUAAGAAGAAAUGGGUUACAAUAAAUUUAUUUAAGAUGGAUUAAUAAUUUAAUAUUAUUAUGAAAGUGGAUUUGAAAGUAAUUAUAUUUAUUUAAAUUUAAUGAUUUUAGCUCUAAAAUAUGU
rnacentral:rRNA from 1 species